rnacentral:lncRNA from 1 species
CAAGUCCUGUGUUGGAAUUGCUUUGGGAGAAGUCAACAGCUGAAUGACUGAGCCUGGUAUCUAGCAGACCUCAUCCAAAUGAGGGUCUUGCCAUGCUUCCACAGGCAGUGGCCAAUUUUUGUUUGGUUCAACACCCAAAAAAGCAGAAGAAUGUCCCGUUUGUAGAAGGAUAUUGAUCCAGCUGGGCACAGCAAUGAAACCUAUGGAGCCGUGGAAGAUAGCAGUCAUCACUUUGUCAGUGGUGUUGGGUUUGGCCCUUGUCAUUGGCUUGAUCGCGUAUGUUUUGUGCAAUGAUCAGGACCGAUAUUACAAUGCAACUUUCAAAAUCUCCAAUGUCCACUAUGACCCUUACUACCAGAGACAAACCACCGAACAGUUCAGACACCUGAGCGAAGAGAUUGAAACAAUGGUAAACUAAGAUCUUCCUCUGCUUCUGCCUAACCCAUGGGGAAGAGUCCUGUGACUGUGGUUAUAGUGGGCUAUUCCUGGAUCAAAGGGUUGGGAGCAUGAGGAAAAGAUGAAAAUUAAACACUGGAGAAGCUGACUCUGUUCCUCAGCAAUGCCAUUCACCUGCAUUUAGCUGCACGUGGUUGAGUCCACCAUGCCUGUAACUGCC